rnacentral:rRNA from 1 species
GAUGAACGCUAGCGGCAGGCCUAAUACAUGCAAGUCGAACGGUGUCUUCGGACAUAGUGGCGCACGGGUGCGUAACACGUAUGCAACCUACCUUACAUUGGGGGAUAGCCUUUCGAAAGGGAGAUUAAUACCGCAUAAGACAGUAGCUGGGCAUCCAGCAGCUGUUAGAUUUAUCGAUGUAAGCUGGGCAUGCGUCCAAUUAGCUAGUUGGUGAGGUAACGGCUCACCAAGGCAAUGAUUGGUAGGGGAACUGAGAGGUCAAUCCCCCACACUGGCACUGAGAUACGGGCCAGACUCCUACGGGAGGCAGCAGUAGGGAAUAUUGGGCAAUGGACGCAAGUCUGACCCAGCCAUGCCGCGUGCAGGAUGAAGGCGUUAUGCGUUGUAAACUGCUUUUAUACAGGAAGAAACGACUCUUGCGAGAGGCAUUGACGGUACUGUAUGAAUAAGCACCGGCUAACUCCGUGCCAGCCGCCGCCGUAAAAC